GUGGUAUAAUCCAUGCGAUAUGCAAGUCGCAUACGAUAAAUCUAGUAAUAAAAGCGCUGUUUUCGACAAAAAUGAGGUUAUACAAUGUGAGUGAGGUGAAUUAAAUUAAUUGUUUUGCAAUGAAUAUGGCAUAUCAAAAUGCUGUGCAACUUCAUAUCGCUGAACAAUUGGAAAAUAUUUUCGAUCAUAAUAAAAGACCGCGUUUUCAUAUAAGGGAUGAUCCAUUUGAAUUAUCAGAACGACAGUUCAUAAAUCUUUUUCGAUUGAAAAAAGAAACAGUAAACAGACUUAUUAAUAUUGUGGAAGACAAUUUUGUAGAACUAUCACGAUCUUCAGCUUUGGACGCAACUGUACAAGGUUUAGUUGCAUUACACUUUUAUGGGUCAGGCAGCUAUCAGAAUUGCAUAGGAAAAAAUAUUCACAUCGCUAUUAGUCAACCUUCGGUCAGCAGAUGUGUUCGAAAUGUGAUUAACAUUCUUAAUUUACCAGAAAUAUUCAACGAUUGGGUGUGUUUUCUUAACAUCCUUCAGAAGCUGCAAACUAUGUAACAAGUGUACUUGAUGUACUCGCGUGGAGUGCCAUCGAACGGUCGGCUAAACUAAACGACGCCGAAGAGUUCCCGAAACGAGCGCCAUUCAAGGAGUUCUGGAAAGUUCAGGAGAGCGAGUAUGUUUUUGGUCAUCAGAGGAUUCAGUAAAAAGAGGCGCACCCACCUUAAUUACGGGCCAAUUACAUAGAGACGACGUCGUCGCCGGGAGGCGCGCCGGUUACGCUUUUAUCGCAUGAAGAUGCGGACGGUAAUGAUGUACGCGGUAGAAAGGGGAAAAAGUGACGUCGCGUGACGAUAUUAUUCCGCCGUGGGUGAUAUCAAUCAAUUUCGCCGAACAGUUCUGUGCGAGCCUCCUGCCGCCUCCACGGCGCGCGCGCGCGCUGCGUGAGUCAAGAGAUGAAAGGCCGAUGAAAGCUGAACGCGGUAAUUAAAAACGGAGUACUCGACGGAGUAUUUCCUUUAGUAGCGGCGCCGGUGGCUUGAGAUUCUCCCGUGCGAUUCUGAGGUAGCCUUCAAAAUCGAGACAGACAGCUGCCGACUCCCGCGGGAAAAGUAUCCUGCGGGCGAGCUAAGUGAGAAAGCGGCUGUUACCACUCAAGCUUGUCGCGCUAAAGCAGAUUUGCAACUCGACUUUCUUUCGCCAGAUAUUCCGCCGUUAUAUACCGUCGGAUAUUGUUAGAUAUCCGUCGUUACGCGAUUGUCAGAUACGCGCCAUAAGGCGCGUCUAAUGGCUUUGCUUAUCGGUUCUCCCCCCGUAGGGAGAGGAUGGGCGCAGCGACGCGUCUCUUCUUCCAUGUGAUAAAUAAUAUAUCGCUAUCGAUAACACAUAUGUGUAAAUAUGUCGUGUGGUUCACCCAAAAAUAUGAUCGUUUUAUUCACAGGAUAUCGAGAGGGGGGAGGGGAGAGAGAGAGAGAG